rnacentral:rRNA from 1 species
CGGUAAUUCCAGCUCCAAUAGCGUAUAUUAAAGUUGUUGCAGUUAAAAAGCUCGUAGUUGGAUUUCUGGCUUGCGACGAUGGGUCCACCUCGCGGUGAGCACCUAUUUGUUGUAGCCAUCCUCUCGGGGGUGCAUGGUGUCAUUAACUUGAUGCUUUGUGUUGUCGAGACCUUUACUUUGAAAAAAUUAGAGUGUUCAAAGCAGGCGAUUGCUUGAAUACAUUAGCAUGGAAUAAUGGAAUAGGACUUUGGUCUUAUUUUGUUGGUUUCUAAGACCGAAGUAAUGAUUAAUAGGGACAGUUGGGGGCAUUAGUAUUUAAUUGUCAGAGGUGAAAUUCUUGGAUUUAUGAAAGACUAACUACUGCGAAAGCAUUUGCCAAGGAUGCUUCCAUUAAUCAAGAACGAAAGUUAGGGGAUCGAAGACGAUCAGAUACCGUCGUAGUCUUAACCAUAAACUAUGCCGACUCAGGAUCAUCGAGGUAGUUUUAGCCACGGUGGCACUGUAUGAGAAGUCAAAGUUUUUGGGUUCUGGGGGGAGUAUGGUCGCAAGGCUGAAACUUAAAGGAAUUGACGGAAGGGCACCACCAGGAGUGGAGCCUGCGGCUUAAUUUGACUCAACACGGGGAAACUCACCAGGUUCAGACAUAGUAAGGAUUGACAGAUUGAUAGCUCUUUCUUGAUUCUAUGGGGUGGUGGUGCAUGGCCGUUCUUAGUUGGUGGAGUGAUUUGUCUGGGUAAUUCCGUUAACGAACGAGACCUUAACCUGCUAAAUAGUUACACGAAUUACGAUUCCUGGGCAACUUAUUAGAGGGCCUAACGGUGUUUAACCGAUGGAAGUUCGAGGCAAUAUCAGGUAUGUGAUGCCAUUAGAUGUUCUGCGCCCCACGCGCGCUACCAUGACAGGGACAACGACUUUACAACCUUCUCCGGUAGGUGAGUGUAAUCUUCCGAGCCCUUGUCGUGUUGGGAUUAGAUUUUUGUAAUAUUUCAUCUCAAACGAGGAAUUUAUAGUAAGCGCGACUCAUCAGAUCGCGUUGAUUCCGUCCCUGCCCUCACUACACACCACCCAAGGGUGAAUC